UACGGGGGGAGCAAGCGUUGUUCGGAUUUACUGGGCGUAAAGGGCGCGUAGGCGGUCAGCACAAGUCAGUUGUGAAAUCUCCGGGCUUAACUCGGAAAGGUCAACUGAUACUGUGCGACUAGAGUGCAGAAGGGGCAACUGGAAUUCUCGGUGUAGCGGUGAAAUGCGUAGAUAUCGAGAGGAACACCUGCGGCGAAGGCGGGUUGCUGGGCCGACACUGACGCUGAUGCGCGAAAGCCAGGGGAGCGAACAGG
rnacentral:rRNA from 1 species